CUGUGGUCCAGUUUUCUGCUGUUAUGAAAGCUGCUUCUUUGAAUAUUCCUGAACUUUGCCUCCAUUUACAUGGUCAAGCCUUCCUGCAUAGUAAAUACAGUACCUGGAAAUGGAGUUGUUAGGUUAUGGGGUAUGCGCAUGCUCAGCUGUAAAGAUAAUGCCACAGUGGUUUCCAGAGUGGUGGUAACAUCAGCAGUUUAUGAGUUCCAGUUGGUCCACAUUCUCAUCCCCAAAAGGUAUUUCAGGCAUGGACUUUGGCCUCUCUUCUGAUACAUCGAGGUAUCUCAGCAAUACUCUGUGUUUCUCUGAUUACUAAGAAGGCUGAGCAGCUAUUUUUUCUUUCUUUCUUUCUUUCUUUCUUUCUUUCUUUCUUUCUUUCUUUCUUUCUUUCUGUUCUUUCUUUCUUUUUUUGUGAGACAAAUGUUGACAAAUGUGACACCUGUAAUCUCAGCACUUGGGAGACUAAGGAGCAGAGUUCUUCACUGAUGCGAAGAUUCCUGAUCACGGUCAUCGCUGCCGCCAUUCGAAGACUUCGGAAGAAACUCUUGCACAUCCCUUGCAAUAAGUGUCUCAUAAGGGGGACCCUCCACACCCCAACACAAUUCCAUACCAGCCUGCUCAGAUUCCAGGGGAAAAUUAUAGUGCUGAGUAUUUCAUGGAACAGUGCAAAGUGCAUAAGGUCAGUUCUUUCAAUGAUAAAAGGCCAUGUCAUUAUUUCCUCUGCACACUAAAAAUCUUUUUCCUCCCUCAAAGUAGAAAAAUGAAAAUACGGCCAGGCGUGGUACCAAAUGCCUAUAAUCUCAGCACGGGGGAGGCUGAAGCAGGAGGAUCCCUGAGAGUUCGAGACCAGUCUGGGCUCCAUGAGUUGAAGACUGGCCUGAAGUACAUAGGGAGGCCCUGUCUCAAAACAAUAAAUAAACGAGUAAAUGAAUGGGACUAGAGCCCUUUGUCCCUCGCAUGACAAACCACCACUUGGGGCCCAGAGAUCCCAGGAGGCGUGGGGCAGGAGAGGGUGAGAAGCAGCAGGCCAAGGCCAGUGACACCUGGGCGGAGAGUGUGGCCUGCGCUGGCGCCUGGGCGGCAGGGGCAGCAGCAGCGAGGCCAAUGCAGCUGGGCCUGAGCUGACUGGGCCCGAGGCCAAGCUGAGGCCUUGCACCCCGGAGCCUGCGCUCCAUCGGAGCUGCCGGCUGCAGGAGCGCUCUAUCUCGCAGUCCUGGGUGCAGGGAAGCGGCAGCCAGGCAGGCAGGAGGAGGGAGGGCGGCCGGACGGGCCUAGUCUCCACCAAUGCCCCCAGAAGGGACCUG
ensembl:lncRNA